AGCUCCCAUUUCCCAGACCCACACGCAGCCAGCAGCCACAUACCUUGAGGAGCGAGGGGAGUGGCCGACGAGCCGUCAGCUCCCUCCAGAUCCGCGGCGAGAUAUCAGCUCCCUCCAGAUCCGCGGCGAGCCGUGAACGAGACAAACUGAAGGAUGGAAUUGAAAUUUGAGGAGGUAGCUGCCCUAGACAAAGAUAACGUUAGUGGUGAAGAUGGAUUAAUUACAGUAAGAAGUGCGUAUCCACGGACCCGUGGCCCUCACUUUAAACUCACUGAGGGAUUUAAUAUGAGAAAGAUUGAAGAGCUUAUGCUAGAAAAGUCUGUUUCGAUGGCCAAGUCCAUAGCAAAUGACAUAAUCAUCCUAGACCCUACUCCCCAGUGGGUGUGUGAUAUCUUCUUCGACAAAUACGCCAAAUUGGAGCCCAUCUUUUUGAAGGAUAGUGUCCAGUGCUUCCUUGGAUUAUUCAAGAGCUGUGGGGGCAGGGGCAUGUCAUGGAAUCUUACCAUCACUGCACAAACCUUAACCUUCAUGAUCAGUUUCAAUGCCUUGCAAUGUGCACAAGUUGUAUUGGAGGGUGAGGCACCUGAGCUCCGUGGGAUGCACGCCAAUCCCAACUGCAUAAACAAAUAUGGAUACUUCCCGCUCCACGAAGCUGCUGAAAGGUUCUCUGUUGACAUGAUCAAGCUGCUUCUACGCCAUGGUGCAUCAGCCAAUGUACGCACAGUUGGCAAUGAUAUCAUUGAGGAUCUACUCCCGCUCCAUGUUGCAGUUGAGAAUACUUGCCUGCAUAAGUAUCUUGAGGACAAUCUUUCUCCCAGCCAGAAUCAUCUGGAUUAUAUCUACAAUCUUAUCCGUCUGCUGUGUCUACCUGAAAUGAAGAUCUUCUUGGAUACAACUAGACUGCUUGCAGAAAAAACAAAUAAUCUACUUGGAGAGCUCUGGAAAUACAUUGAGGAUGGAAAACUUACGCAGUCUGCAGUUCUACUACUGGCCGCUCAAGAGCAGAUCCGUGGAGGCUGUUCAUCCAGUAGUAAGAAAGAUGGGUUUGACAUGAUCAAGAGCAGUAUACUGAGGCUUUCAUUUACCUUGAUAUGGGGGAAGGGUUCAAGUGAAAUGCCACAGAAGCUUCCGGAGGAAAUGAAGGCACUUUAUUGCGCAGGGCUGCUUGUUGAUGUAAUUUCCCGUGUCGGUGAACCUCUUUCUGCAUACAUUCAAGCACAUUCAGAGGUGCCCAAUGUGGAGGUCUUGGAACAUGUUUCAUCUAUCCUCAAGGAGUAUGGAUUUUGCCCUACUGGAGAUUCCAUGGACACUUUAAACCUCCAGCCUUAUGACUGCAAAAUGUCGGACAGAGAAUCAUGCGAGUCUACAGAUACAAACAUGGCAGCUACGAAAACGGCCAAUCUGCAUGCUGCAAAGAAAAAGCCUGCGAGAAAGAAAGUAGGUGGAGGAUGGGAUCCCACAUAUGCAAGGAGAAGAUUUUUCCCAUAUUGGAGAUCAGUGUUACAAGCCCGGUUUCCUGUGAAGGUGUAUCCAAACUAUGCAAGAACAGAUCUUGAACAACUCCAUGUCUCUCUGAGAACCUCAGUGGCCAAGGGAUCUAUUCGAACUCAAAAUAUAGUUGGUCCAGUGGGAAGAAUCUCAGCACUUAUAGGAAAUAAUCAAUCCACAAGGCGCUUUAUCACUACUGCUACUGGUGCAUUCAAGCUCUUGAAAGCGCUAAGGUAGAGUAGAAAGUCUCCAGGUUCUUCACGGCUACACCAAGCUUGGGUAUGUUUGCUUGCUUGGCAAUGAGCAACCCUGCCGUUAUCUCUUUCCUUCAACUGGUCCAUAUGCGGAUAAUUUAGAUGAUAGUGAGGGGCUCAACUUGGAAAUGAUCGGGCUGAUCCGCGUCGUCAGCGUCAACCUUGUCACCAGGGAGGGGAUCUGAGGUUCUGGACUGACGCCUGACGAUAGCCACUGUUCAGGAUGUAAGUGCACAAACUGCUGGACAUUCUGGGACUUGCCCGCACCGGCCACCACUUCUUAUGUUGCAUCUCCACAUCCAGCUUCCAUGUACUACCAUAGUACUCCCAUACACUACAAAGCAGAAAGUACAGACAUUGAUACAAUGGAUCAAUUAGCAGAUCAAGCAGGAAUCCGGUGGGAGCUGGAGGGGGAGGCGGCUGGUGAAGUUGCUCUCAGGGUGCUGGUUCUUGGAGACGGACUCGAGUUCGUCGGCACCUGGCGGGGUGAGACGGCGUGCUUCGAGUUCGGUGGCUUUUGGUGUCUCGUGGAGGCCGAGAAGACAAGGAGGAGGCGCUGCUCGGUGGAGAGGAAGGUCGUAGCUGAAGCUGGAUUUCGUGGAGAAGAGGUGACGAUCGUGGAGAGCACUUUUUUUUAGGGACUCGGAGCACUCAAAAAAUGCUAGACACACGGACUGCCCGCUCACAAAUUUUACGGGCUGGCUGAUCUGAAGCUCCGGAGCACUAGAGCAUGGCGUUUUCCCGCUCUGGCCGUGGAAGGGAAUCAAGACAACAACGCCGCUCGACUCCAUGGGCUUUGUGGGCUAUAUCCCACAUGUCAUUUAGUUUUACUGGGCACUCACGUAUGCCAUUUAGAUUUGAUUUCGUGGGUUGCAGGACAUCUGGAUACCGCCACCACUCACGCGAAAUCACUAGUUAAGAAGUAUUCGUUGCGAA